rnacentral:rRNA from 1 species
CCCUUCGGGUGACGUUAACGGCGUCGAGCGGCGGACGGGUGAGUAAUGCCUGGGAAAUUGCCCUGAUGUGGGGGAUAACCAUUGGAAACGAUGGCUAAUACCGCAUAAUGCCUUCGGGUCAAAGAGGGGGACCUUCGGGCCUCUCGCGUCAGGAUAUGCCCAGGUGGGAUUAGCUAGUUGGUGAGGUAAUGGCUCACCAAGGCGACGAUCCCUAGCUGGUCUGAGAGGAUGAUCAGCCACACUGGAACUGAGACACGGUCCAGACUCCUACGGGAGGCAGCAGUGGGGAAUAUUGCACAAUGGGCGCAAGCCUGAUGCAGCCAUGCCGCGUGUGUGAAGAAGGCCUUCGGGUUGUAAAGCACUUUCAGCAGUGAGGAAGGCGGGUACGUUAAUAGCGUGCUCGUUUGACGUUAGCUGCAGAAGAAGCACCGGCUAACUCCGUGCCAGCAGCCGCGGUAAUACGGAGGGUGCGAGCGUUAAUCGGAAUUACUGGGCGUAAAGCGCAUGCAGGUGGUUCGUUAAGUCAGAUGUGAAAGCCCGGGGCUCAACCUCGGAACUGCAUUUGAAACUGGCGGACUAGAGUACUGUAGAGGGGGGUAG